GNGAACUUAGCAGAGAUGCUUUGGUGCCUUCGGGAACUCUGAGACAGGUGCUGCAUGGCUGUCGUCAGCUCGUGUUGUGAAAUGUUGGGUUAAGUCCCGNAACGAGCGCAACCCUUAUCCUUUGUUGCCAGCGGUUCGGCCGGGAACUCAAAGGAGACUGCCGGUGAUAAACCGGAGGAAGGUGGGGAUGACGUCAAGUCAUCAUGGCCCUUACGGCCAGGGCUACACACGUGCUACAAUGGCGCAUACAAAGAGAAGCGACCUCGCGAGAGCAAGCGGACCUCAUAAAGUGCGUCGUAGUCCGGAUUGGAGUCUGCAACUCGACUCCAUGAAGUCGGAAUCGCUAGUAAUCGUAGAUCAGAAUGCUACGGUGAAUACGUUCCCGGGCCUUGUACACACCGCCCGUCACACCAUGGGAGUGGGUUGCAAAAGAAGUAGGUAGCUUAACCUUCGGGAGGGCGCUUACCACUUUGUGAUUCAUGACUGGGGUGAAGUCGUAACAAGGUAAGCGUAGCGAG
rnacentral:rRNA from 1 species